UCGCCUUGGCUAGUAUCAUUUUCCCUUGAAGUCUUGAGACUCUGCACAAGCUCAAGCCGUGAACUCAGAAUCCCGUGCCUCGAAAAUAUCUCUGCAAUCACUUAAUUUUUGCAAGCACAAUGUAUAAUUUUUUUUUAUUUUUAUUUUUUGAUAAUCGUGGUGUCCGGGCCAGCUUGCGCGCACCUCGACUAAUUCCACGGGAUACCUGCCACCUCCCACCAGCAACAACUACCAGGUAACUCUAUCCACCAAGGCUUGAAUAAAUGGGAAAAAAUCACCUAAUAUUUGCCUCCGCUGGGAUUUGAACCUGAGACCUCAUGAUUCUCACCCACUUUAUUGACCACUAGGUCACACCCUUGGGUGCCACAAUGCAUAAUUACUUUACCAAAAAUUUCAGCUAAGGGAAAAAAAAAUGCUCCAUUCUAGUCUGAUAUAUGCCCAUUGAAAAUCUAAGGGUCGUUAAAGUCAUGUAUAUGCCCAUCUAAAAUCCACAUAUCUAAUAGAUACCAAAUUGAAUAGCUAUCACCACAUAUAUCUAUCACUGAAAACUAAAUGCCCUUUCUGUCAAUUUCCUCUCAUAAUGACCACAGUAAAGCUCCUUCAUGAACAAGUUGUCAACAAUAAGGUUAAAAAAAUAAUUAAAUGCCAAUAAAAUAAGCUUAUUAUUAAGCUAAGAAAUUUAAAAGUAGCACAUAAUUUUUUUUUUCACAAGUAACCAAGAAUAAAACCAUGAUGAUCCAUAUAUGUGGAACUUCAACUUUAAGAAGUAUUAAGUAUGCUAACCUCUGUUGCGACCUUUUUUGUCUUACAUAACCUUAUUUUGUUUAACUGGAGCCAAGAGCAUUAAGCAAAAGGUAUUAUUGUCAGAUACCUGUGAAAGAGGAGGAAUUGUUUCCUUUA
rnacentral:lncRNA from 1 species